rnacentral:rRNA from 1 species
AAUGAACGCUGGCGGCAUGCCUAACACAUGCAAGUCGAACGACCGCACAGGGAGCUUUCGCCCCUGCGGGUGGCGCGCGGCGGAUGCGUAACACAUGGAUAGCAUACCUCUACGACUGGGGUGAUAACGCGGGACAAUGUCUGCUAACGAAUAAUAUAUCGAACCGGAGUGAGCAAUGGUGCAUGAGGCUUUUGGUGACGCUAAUAGCUGGUUUCGCGUCGCAUUAUCUACUGGGUAAGGUAACGGCUAACCAAGGCUACGAUGCGUAGCCGGCCUGAGAGGGUGAGCCGCCAGACGGGCACUGAGACAGGGCCCAGACUCCUACGGGAGGCAGCAGUAGGGAAUCUUACGCAAGGGGGGAAAGCCUGAUGGAGCAACACCGCGUGAGGGAUGAAGGACCUCGGAUGGUAAAGCGAUGUUGUUAGGAAAGAAGAAAAGCGCAUUUACCCGGGAAGGUAAUGACGGUACCGAAAGAAUAAGCACCGGCUAACUACGUG